GUUUGCAAUAACAAAUAAUCGAUACAAAUGAUAUACUUCCUCAUUUUAUAAUUCUGCCAGGGUAGUGUCAUGGACGACUAUGUGAAAAGGAAGUUACAAGAAUGGGUACUCAGUGAGUACAUUGACAACUUUAAAGGUCAACAAAUUUCAGAAACAAAUUUCAAGCUCCUACUUGGUGAAGAAAAAGCACAGGAGGCCUUGAUUCCACCUUGGGGACCAAGGCUUCUAUUCAAAAAGAAACUUGAAGAA